rnacentral:rRNA from 1 species
GUGGGGAAUCUUGCGCAAUGGGCGAAAGCCUGACGCAGCCAUGCCGCGUGAAUGAUGAAGGUCUUAGGAUUGUAAAAUUCUUUCACCGGGGACGAUAAUGACGGUACCCGGAGAAGAAGCUCCGGCUAACUUCGUGCCAGCAGCCGCGGUAAUACGAAGGGGGCUAGCGUUGCUCGGAAUUACUGGGCGUAAAGGGCGCGUAGGCGGACAGCUUAGUCAGAGGUGAAAGCCCAGGGCUCAACCUUGGAAUUGCCUUUGAUACUGGCUGUCUUGAGUUUGGGAGAGGUGAGUGGAACUCCGAGUGUAGAGGUGAAAUUCGUAGAUAUUGGAAGGAACACCAGUGGCGUAAGCGGCUAUCUGGACGAGUAUUGACGCUGAGGCACGAAAGCGUGGGGAUCAAACAGGAUUAGAUACCCUGGUAGUCC